GGUAGAACAAUAACAUAGUGAAAGCACACAACUAUAUGCUCCGGAAUCUUAACCGAAAAACUUUUCAGCAUCGCCGACAAGACCCUGACGAUUUCCUGUUAACACGUUAAAUAUCACACUAAAAGCCGUAGCCACCUUCUGAGCCGUAGCCACCUUCUUCGGGUCUCGCACCUUUCUUUUCCCCUUUCCCAUUUUAUUCAUCCUAUUCACAUGGGAAGGAAACUUUUCUCUAAUAGUCUGAAAAGGAUCACUUUACAAGCCACAUGGUGAAACAUAAGCCCAUCCAUCUACCUUAGAGCAAAGAUUCUCAUUCAUGCAAUGCAAACACUUUGCAGGGGCCACCUUGUGUAGGUUCAUUGUAAGACCAUCAAAAGCUUCCAAGGUGG
rnacentral:lncRNA from 1 species